UAGGGAAUCUUCGGCAAUGGACGAAAGUCUGACCGAGCAACGCCGCGUGAGUGAAGAAGGUUUUCGGAUCGUAAAACUCUGUUGUUAGAGAAGAACAAGGACGUUAGUAACUGAACGUCCUCUGACGGUAUCUAACCAGAAAGCCACGGCUAACUACGUGCC
rnacentral:rRNA from 1 species